CGCCAAGUUGGAAGAGGAGUUGGCGGCGCAGAAGGAGGCAGCGGCCAAGGCGGCUGCGGAGACAGAGCAGAGAAAGCGCGCACAUGCGCAACAG
rnacentral:SRP_RNA from 1 species